GAUGAACGCUGGCGGCGUGCCUAAUACAUGCAAGUCGAGCGAACAGACGAGGAGCUUGCUCCUCUGACAUUAGCGGCGGACGGGUGAGUAACACGUGGAUAACCUACCUAUAAGACUGGGAUAACUUCGGGAAACCGGAGCUAAUACCGGAUAAUAUAUUGAACCGCAUGGUUCAAUAGUGAAAGACGGUUUUGCUGCCACUUAUAGAUGGAUCCGCGCCGCAUUAGCUAGUUGGUAAGGUAACGGCUUACCAAGGCAACGAUGCGUAGCCGACCUGAGAGGGUGAUCGGCCACACUGGAACUGAGACACGGUCCAGACUCCUACGGGAGGCAGCAGUAGGGAAUCUCCCGCAAUGGGCGAAAGCCUGACGGAGCAACGCCGCGUGAGUGAUGAAGGUCUUCGGAUCGUAAAACUCUGUUAUUAGGGAAGAACAAAUGUGUAAGUAACUAUGCACGUCUUGACGGUACCUAAUCAGAAAGCCACGGCUAGCUACGUG
rnacentral:rRNA from 1 species